rnacentral:rRNA from 18 species
GAUGCCGAUCAUACCAGCACUAAAGCACCGGAUCCGGAUCCCAUCAGAACUCCGAAGUUAAGCAUGCUUGGGCGAGAGUAGUACUAGGAUGGGUGGCCUCCUGGGAAGUCCUCGUGGUGCAUUC